AGUGAACGCUGGCGGUAGGCCUAACACAUGCAAGUCGAACGGCAGCACAGUAAGAGCUUGCUCUUACGGGUGGCGAGUGGCGGACGGGUGAGGAAUACAUCGGAAUCUACUUUUUCGUGGGGGAUAACGUAGGGAAACUUACGCUAAUACCGCAUACGACCUACGGGUGAAAGCAGGGGAUCUUCGGACCUUGCGCGAUUGAAUGAGCCGAUGUCGGAUUAGCUAGUUGGCGGGGUAAAGGCCCACCAAGGCGACGAUCCGUAGCUGGUCUGAGAGGAUGAUCGGCCCCACUGGAACGUAGACACGGUCCAGACUCCUACGGGAGGCAGCAGUGGGGAAUAUUGGACAAUGGGCGCAAACCUGAUCCAGUCAUACCGCGUGGGUGAAGAAGGCCUUCCGGUUGUAAAGCCCUUUUGUUGGGAAAGAAAAGCAGCAGGUUAAUACCCCGCUGUUCUGACGGUACCCAAAGAAUAAGCACCGGCUAACUUCGUG
rnacentral:rRNA from 1 species